rnacentral:rRNA from 1 species
AGCGAACGCUGGCGGCAGGCUUAACACAUGCAAGUCGAGCGGGCGUAGCAAUACGUCAGCGGCAGACGGGUGAGUAACGCGUGGGAACGUACCUUUUGGUUCGGAACAACACAGGGAAACUUGUGCUAAUACCGGAUAAGCCCUUACGGGGAAAGAUUUAUCGCCGAAAGAUCGGCCCGCGUCUGAUUAGCUAGUUGGUGAGGUAAUGGCUCACCAAGGCGACGAUCAGUAGCUGGUCUGAGAGGAUGAUCAGCCACAUUGGGACUGAGACACGGCCCAAACUCCUGCGGGAGGCAGCAGUGGGGAAUAUUGGACAAUGGGGGCAACCCUGAUCCAGCCAUGCCGCGUGAGUGAUGAAGGCCCUAGGGUUGUAAAGCUCUUUUGUGCGGGAAGAUAAUGACGGUACCGCAAGAAUAAGCCCCGGCUAACUUCGUGCCAGCCGCCGCAGUAAUAC